rnacentral:rRNA from 1 species
CGACUCUCGGCAACGGAUAUCUCGGCUCUCGCAUCGAUGAAGAACGUAGCGAAAUGCGAUACUUGGUGUGAAUUGCAGAAUCCCGUGAACCAUUGAGUCUUUGAACGCAAGUUGCGCCCGAAGCCGUCAGGCCGAGGGCACGCCUGCCUGGGCGUCACG